rnacentral:rRNA from 1 species
CCUACGGGAGGCAGCAGUGAGGAAUAUUGGUCAAUGGACGAGAGUCUGAACCAGCCAUGCCGCGUGAAGGAUGACUGCCCUAUGGGUUGUAAACUUCUUUUAUAAAGGAAUAAAACGAGGCACGUGUGCCUUUUUGCAUGUACUUUAUGAAUAAGGAUCGGCUAACUCCGUGCCAGCAGCCGCGGUAAUACGGAGGAUCCGAGCGUUAUCCGGAUUUAUUGGGUUUAAAGGGUGCGUAGAUGGGUUGUUAAGUCAGUUGUGAAAGUUUGCGGCUCAACCGUAAAAUUGCAAUUGAUACUGGCAGUCUUGAGUAUAGUUGAGGUAGGCGGAAUUCGUGGUGUAGCGGUGAAAUGCUUAGAUAUCACGAAGAACCCCGAUUGCGAAGGCAGCUUACUAAACUGUGACUGACAUUGAUGCUCGAAAGUGUGGGUAGCAAACAGGAUUAGAUACCCCAGUAGUC